rnacentral:rRNA from 1 species
CCUACGGGGGGCAGCAGUGGGGAAUAUUGGACAAUGGGGGGAACCCUGAUCCAGCCAUGCCGCGUGUGUGAAGAAGGCCCUCGGGUUGUAAAGCACUUUCAGUGAGGAAGAACGCCUGGUGGUUAAUACCCAUCAGGAAAGACAUCACUCACAGAAGAAGCACCGGCUAACUCCGUGCCAGCAGCCGCGGUAAUACGGAGGGUGCGAGCGUUAAUCGGAAUUACUGGGCGUAAAGCGCGCGUAGGUGGCUUGAUAAGCCGGUUGUGAAAGCCCCGGGCUCAACCUGGGAACGGCAUCCGGAACUGUCAAGCUAGAGUGCAUGAGAGGAAGGUAGAAUUCCCGGUGUAGCGGUGAAAUGCGUAGAGAUCGGGAGGAAUACCAGUGGCGAAGGCGGCCUUCUGGACUGACACUGACACUGAGGUGCGAAAGCGUGGGUAGCAAACAGGAUUAGAUACCCUGGUAGUC